GUAGGGUCCGAGCGUUAUCCGGAAUCAUUGGGCGUAAAGAGCUCGUAGGCGGUUCAGCAAGUCGGCUGUGAAAGUUCGAGGCUCAACCUCGAAAUUGCAGUCGAUACUGCUGUGACUCGAGUCCGGUAGAGGAGAAUGGAAUUCCCGGUGUAGCGGUGAAAUGCGCAGAUAUCGGGAGGAACACCAGUAGCGAAGGCGGUUCUCUGGGCCGGCACUGACGCUGAGGAGCGAAAGCGUGGGGGGAGCAAACAGGAUUAGAUACCCUGGUAGUCCACGCCCGUAAACGUUGGAUGCUAGGUGUGGCGGUCUACCAACGACUGCUGUGCCGAAGCUAACGCAUUAAGCAUCCCGCCUGGGGAGUACGGCCGCAAGGCUA
rnacentral:rRNA from 1 species